rnacentral:rRNA from 1 species
CACGUAGGGCGCAAGCGUUGUCCGGAAUUAUUGGGCGUAAAGAGCUCGUAGGCGGUCUGUUGCGUCCGCUGUGAAAACUCGGGGCUUAACCCCGAGCCUGCAGUGGAUACGGGCAGACUAGAGGUAGGUAGGGGAGAAUGGAAUUCCCGGUGUAGCGGUGAAAUGCGCAGAUAUCGGGAGGAACACCGGUGGCGAAGGCGGUUCUCUGGGCAUGUUCUGACGCUGAGGAGCGAAAGUGUGGGGAGCGAACAGGG